rnacentral:rRNA from 1 species
AGUGAACGCUGGCGGUAGGCCUAACACAUGCAAGUCGAACGGCAGCACGGUAAGAGCUUGCUCUUACGGGUGGCGAGUGGCGGACGGGUGAGGAAUACAUCGGAAUCUACUUUUUCGUGGGGGAUAACGUAGGGAAACUUACGCUAAUACCGCAUACGACCUACGGGUGAAAGCAGGGGAUCUUCGGACCUUGCGCGAUUGAAUGAGCCGAUGUCGGAUUAGCUAGUUGGCGGGGUAAAGGCCCACCAAGGCGACGAUCCGUAGCUGGUCUGAGAGGAUGAUCAGCCACACUGGAACUGAGACACGGUCCAGACUCCUACGGGAGGCAGCAGUAGGGAAUAUUGGACAAUGGGCGCAAGCCUGAUCCAGCCAUACCGCGUGGGUGAAGAAGGCCUUCGGGUUGUAAAGCCCUUUUGUUGGGAAAGAAAAGCAGCAGGUUAAUACCCCGCUGUUCUGACGGUACCCAAAGAAUAAGCACCGGCUAACUUCGUG